rnacentral:rRNA from 1 species
UACGUAGGGGGCAAGCGUUGUUCGGAAUCACUGGGCGUAAAGGGCGUGUAGGCGGUCAAGUAAGUGGAAUGUGAAAUGCCCCGGCUCACCCGGGGACCUGCAUCCCAAACUGCUUGGCUUGAGUAUGGGAGAGGAUGAGGGAAUUCCUGGUGUGAGCGGUGAAAUGCGUAGAUAUCGGGGAGGAACACCAGUGGCGAAGGCGACUACCUGGCCUGUUCUUGACGCUGAGACGGCGAAAGCGUGGGGAGCGAAC